GCGGGGAUAACACAGUUGGGAGAGUGUCAGACUGAAGAUUUGAAGUAAGUGUGUUCGAUCCCCACUCACCGCA
rnacentral:tRNA from 1 species